rnacentral:rRNA from 1 species
UGCCUGCCCAGUGAUAUUGAUUCAACGGCCACGGUAUUUUGACCGUGCAAAGGUAGCAUAAUCACUUGUUUUUUAAAUAAAGACUUGUAUGAAAGGCAAGACGAAGGCUUAACUGUCUCCUUUGUCCUAUCUACGAAACUGAUCUUCCUGUAAAAAAGCAGGAAUAAGACCGUAAGACGAGAAGACCCUAUGGAACUUAAGACUAAGACAACUCUACUGCACUACACCAAUAAAGAUUUGUCCUGAUGUCUUCAGUUGGGGCGACUGCGGAGUACACAAACCCUCCGUGAACCAUUCGCUAAUAACACAAACUUAACGCACCAAGAUACCUUGGAUAACUGACCCAAUAUAUUGACUAACGAACCAAGCUACCCUAGGGAUAACAGCGCAAUCUUCUUUAAGAGACCUUAUCAACAAGAAGGUUUACGACCUCGAUGUUGGAUCAGGGUACCCAGACAAUGUAGCCGUUGUCAUCGGUUUGUUUGUUCAACAAUUAAAACCCU